AAAAGGGCAGAAUGGAAGAAUUGUGGGAGGAACUGGAAAGUAAGAAAGCCGUGUACCAGCACUCAGCACUCAAAAUGAGAAAGGAGGACAUAUAAGGAAAAGGACUAACACUUAUAAAAAAAAAAAGGCUAAUGGAUUAACAUCUCCAUUGUGUGACUUUUUCUU
rnacentral:lncRNA from 1 species